rnacentral:rRNA from 1 species
AACGUAGGACGCGAGCGUUAUCCGGAGUUACUGGGCGUAAAGCGCGGGCAGGCGGUCUGACAAGUCUGAUGUGAAAUCUCCGGGCUUAACCGGGAGAGGCCAUUGGAAACUGACAGGCUGGAGGGCAGUAGAGGUAGGCGGAAUUCCGGGUGGAGUGGUGAAAUGCGCAGAUAUCAGGAGGAACACCGGUGGCGAAGGCGGCUUUCUGGGGCUGCCCUGACGCUGAGGCGCGAAAGCUGGGGGAGCGAACAGG